CGCGUAGGUGGUUCUGUAUGUCUAUCGUGAAAGCGUACGGCUCAACCGUAUUUUGUCGGUAGAAACUGCAGGACUUGAGGCUGGGAGGGGCUGGUGGAAUUCCCUGUGUAGCGGUGAAAUGCGUAGAGAUGGGGGAGAACACUCGUGGCGAAGGCGGCCAGCUAGACCAGUUCUGACACUGAGGCGCGACAGCGUGGGGAGCAAACA
rnacentral:rRNA from 1 species